CUAAGUAAUCCCUUCUCUAUGAACAGAGUGUGCACACCUUCAUUUCCUCCUCCGGACAGAAAUUCUCCUUCCUCAGAGGGCAUUCAUAUCUCAACUUGCAAAUAAAUAUCUCCUCUCUCAUUUCUGCUCUGUAGUGUAGUCAUGGUGGGUUGUCUUUUUAGAUAUUUAAGUUUCUGAGCACAGAACUGGUACUGAGUGGGACUGGGGGUGAGCUUUGAGUGAGGUUCCUAAUAAGGAGAGAUUUGCUGUAAAAGUCCUCCAUGGCCCUCCGAAAACUAAUAGCUGUCACUUAGCAUGACUCUAGUUAUGACUAUCAGCAGCAGCUAAAGGACAGAAGGUUACUGCUGACCCAAGGGCCAAGCCCUUAACCCUGGCUCUGACUUAAGCUAUCUCUGUCUAACUCUGAAGUAUAAGACCCAGAGUUCUUACAGCCCCCCAACCUUUCGAGGUGCAGACCUGCCAAUAUGUGUUUGGCUGACUUUAGGUUUUGAAAAUUAAUUCGCGUAUUUGUCAGACUGGGGUAUGUUUUGCUGCAGUAAAGGACACCUCUCCAAAUUUCAAUAGCUUCAAACGACAAGGAUGAAUUUCUUACUCACACGACUUAGACAUCUCAGGUCAGCAGAGGACUCAGCUCUAGCCUCAUCUGGGACUCAAACUGACCAGAGCAGCCACUGUCUGGUCGGGAUGUGACCUGCCUUGGUGGCAGAGAGAAGAGAGCAUGGAGAAUCACACCCUGACUCUCAAAGUGAUGCGUGCCACCUCUGAUCACAUUUCUCAUGGCCUUUUUACAGCUUCACCAGGGUAGAGCAGUACAGACAUCAAAAGGAGAACAGACACAGAAUAUUUGGGAAUGGGUCUAAUGAUUUCUAGCCACCAAGGUAUAAAAAUGAUGUAGUAAUCUGAAUUUCUGGAUUCUUUUGAGACAUUUCAGAAUCUUGCAGUAUUGGAGCUGCACAGCCACAUGGCAGGAGUUGGGACAACGGGAGGGAUUUAUCUGUAGCUGCUCUAAUUUGAUGGGGCACUUGUUUUCCAGCUCCAGCCUGUUUCGCCCCCCUCAGAGGUCGGCUCGGUUCCUAUAGAAAUUUGAAUUGCCAACCCUUGAACUGGAGUCCAGUCUAGUGGUAACAGUUCAGCUAUGGAGUUAGACCACCUGGUUUCAAAUCUGGGAGAAGCCCCUUUAUGGCUCUGUAAUCAGACUGAGUAAUUUGAUGCUCUCAGGUCACAUGGGAAUGAGUAGUCAUGGUAAAAGGGAACAGGAGUAAUGACCUCAGAGGGCUGUGAUGAGGAGUGAGUGAGAAGAUCCACGGAAAGCACUUCAUUUUGUGCCUCGGACAGAAGUAACGCAGCUGCUGUAUCGCCACCAUCAUCCACAGCGUCACCGUCAUCCUCAUCCUCAUUGUCAUCUUUCCAAAGUGCCGCCCUGCCUGCACCUAGAACGUCCACAAACUCGGGAUCGCAAGCACACACGUUCUGUGUAAUCCAUCAUCGAAGCCAUUAUCCUGCUUCUGAUCAAGGGUGGAAUGGAAAACCUCCCUCUCCCUUCAACACCUACCACCAGCUCUUUGAUUUGCCAGGCGUGGGCAGAAGGGAAGUUUCCGGCGAAUGACCUCAGACCCUCUCCACACAGAGCCCCACGCUGUACCUCGUAACCAUCAGCCUGGGAAGAGAAAACCCAAGUCAGGCUCUUUGUAAACAGUCGGCAAAUGGCUUCUCGUUCACUUACUCCCUUGUUGCAGAAAGGCCUUUUUUCCCUUCCCCUUUCGUAUGUACUCUGUGCGUGGGUGUUUCCUGGGGCUCCUCACCACACGCACCUCCAACCACCUGCCGAGCUUGAAGUGUUCUGGUGCGGCCCAGCUCUGCAUUAUCAAGUGGUUAAAUAAAACAACCUCUGCACCUU